rnacentral:rRNA from 1 species
AAUCAACGCUGGCGGCGUGCCUAACACAUGCAAGUCGAACGGGAAAACGGGGCGAACUCCGUGAGUAUAGUGGCGUACGGGUGAGUAACACGUGACUACCUACCUUUGAGUGGGGGAGUAACCCCGGGAAACCGGGGCGUAAUACCGCAUAACAUCGCAAGAUCAAAGAAGCAAUUCGCUUAAAGAGGGGGUCGGCGGCUGAUUAGCUCGUUGGUGGGGUAAUGGCUCACCAAGGCGACGAUCGGUAGGGGGUCUGAGAGGACGAU